CGAAAACUGCUGAAAUCUUAUCACGGGUAUAUGGGAAGCGAAGGAUUUACCAAAGUAUCAUUGAUAAGUUUCUAACAAAAAGCAUAAGAAGGGAGACGAAGUUCACAGCUUACGGAUUCUUUGUUAUAAAUAAUUCAACAUUGUUCAAGAUUAUAUCAACCGUUACAACGUAUUUGGUAAUAUUAAUACAGUUCAAACAAAUGGAGAAAUCUAAGAAUGAUUGAAAUGAAAUGCACGGGAAUAAACUGCUUAACGUUCAUGCUAUAGAGCACAGCAAUAAUUUGCAUUAAUUAAUUUGUGCAUGUACGCCUUCAUAACUACAAGCUGAUAUUUUUCAGUUAAUGUAACAAUUGUAAUAAAAUAUUUCUGUGACAAAUGAUGAGAUUUACAAAAUAAACA